GUUAUUUUUUGCGCUGAAUGGAAAAGUGCUUAUUAGUGUAAAAGGGCUUAUUUUGACUAGUUGUUGUACAUUGCACCUAAACCAAAAUUGUUGCUAUACUAUAUACAACCUAUUGUUAUAUUAAAUGCAAAUUGAUAUACUAUGUCAAUUUUCAUGCUAUUUUAAUAUGAAUUUUCUCUAUUCUAAUUUUUUUUCUUUCUAAUAACCACUUAUUGGGAUAGUAGCUUAACUUAAUCAACCAACACACAUUCAACUAAAAUUCAACUAAAGACAUUCACACAAGCAAGAUCAUGAUCAAUGGUAUGGAAUGAAAAGGGUUCAAGGCUUACCGACGGAAAGAUUUACUCCGGCCAGUGUCGAAAUUUUGCCGACAAAAUUAACAAAGAGAAACCCGAAAAUUUUCAAGAGCAACUUGAACACCACCGAUGUCGGAAAGUGGAGACAGAGGCAUUGAAAGAAGGCUUGAUGGAAGUUGAUUUUUGUUGGAAAUCUACAUGUAGCAUAACCAUGACAUAAGUCAUUUCCUCAUGAAUGGUGAUGAGUACUUUGUCAAAUCAAUAUGGAAUAGGUCUAGGAGAAAUUAUGGAUAAAAACUGAGUCGGUGGUUGAAAGUUGACUGAUAGUUAGUUGUUUAACCGAAAAGUCAAUUGUACCACAAAAUUGUAAUUUUUUCCGCUUUUUCCUUGUAGUCCACUAUUAUGACUUGUAUCACUGCAGAUUUCGGCAAAUUUGAAGACCAAUUGACUGAUAUGUUUACAAAGUCUCUUAGAGGUUCUCGAGUGGAUUACAUUUGUAACAAUCUCGGCUCAUAUGACAUAUAUGAUCCAGCUUGAGGGGGAGUGUUAAGGAUAUUUGUAUUUAGAAAAGUCUCACAUCGACUAUAGCAUAUAAUUAGCUGUAAAUCACUCUCUAUAUAUAAUAUUGUCUCCGUAGUGCUUUUUAACA